rnacentral:misc_RNA from 1 species
UUUCCGUAGGUGAACCUGCGGAAGGAUCAUUAUCGUACAAAAUGUGAGGGGCAUGCGAGGGCUGUCGCUGACCCAAAAGUCAUGCACGCCCGAGUGUGUCCUCUUGCAUAAUAAUCCAUCUCACCCUUUGUGCAUCACCGCGUGGGCACCCUUCGGGAUCAUCUCGGAGGGGGGCUCGCGUUUUCACACAAACCCCCCUUUUAAAAGUGUAGAAUGACCACAUUUAUGCAAUCAAUACAACUUUCAACAACGGAUCUCUUGGCUCUCGCAUCGAUGAAGAACUCAGC